rnacentral:rRNA from 1 species
GCUACAGGCUUAACACAUGCAAGUCGAGGGGCAGCAUGGUCUUAGCUUGCUAAGGCUGAUGGCGACCGGCGCACGGGUGAGUAACACGUAUCCAACCUGCCGUCUACUCUUGGCCAGCCUUCUGAAAGGAAGAUUAAUCCAGGAUGGGAUCAUGAGUUCACAUGUCCGCAUGAUUAAAGGUAUUUUCCGGUAGACGAUGGGGAUGCGUUCCAUUAGAUAGUAGGCGGGGUAACGGCCCACCUAGUCAACGAUGGAUAGGGGUUCUGAGAGGAAGGUCCCCCACAUUGGAACUGAGACACGGUCCAAACUCCUACGGGAGGCAGCAGUGAGGAAUAUUGGUCAAUGGGCGAUGGCCUGAACCAGCCAAGUAGCGUGAAGGAUGACUGCCCUAUGGGUUGUAAACUUCUUUUAUAAAGGAAUAAAGUCGGGUAUGCAUACCCGUUUGCAUGUACUUUAUGAAUAAGGAUCGGCUAACUCCGUGCCAGCAGCCGCGGUAAUACGGAGGAUCCGAGCGUUAUCCGGAUUUAUUGGGUUUAAAGGGAGCGUAGAUGGAUGUUUAAGUCAGUUGUGAAAGUUUGCGGCUCAACCGUAAAAUUGCAGUUGAUACUGGAUGCCUUGAGUGCAGUUGAGGCAGGCGGAAUUCGUGGUGUAGCGGUGAAAUGCUUAGAUAUCACGAAGAACUCCGAUUGCGAAGGCAGCCUGCUAAGCUGCAACUGACAUUGAGGCUCGAAAGUGUGGGUAUCAAACAGG